rnacentral:rRNA from 1 species
AUACUUCCAAGAAAAGCUUGCACUGUCAUAGAUAAAAAAUGCCUGUACCAUAACCGACACAGGUGGGUAAGUAGAGUAUACUAAGGGGCGCGAGAUAACUCUCUCUAAGGAACUCGGCAAAAUAACUCCGUAACUUCGGGAGAAGGAGUGCCUUAUUCUUAAGGUUGCAAUAACAAGAUCCAAGCAACUGUUUAUCAAAAACACAGGUCUCCGCUAAGUCGUAAGACGAUGUAUGGGGGCUGACGCCUGCCCAGUGCCAGAAGGUUAAAGAAGUCGGUUAGCAAUAGCGAAGCUGGUAACUGAAGCCCUGGUGAACGGCGGCCGUAACAAUAACGGUCCUAAGGUAGCGAAAUUCCUUGUCGGGUAAGUUCCGACCCGCACGAAAGGCGUAAUGAUUUGGAUGCUGUCUCGGAGAGAGGCUCGGUGAAAUAGACUUGUCUGUGAAGAUGCGGACUACCUGCACCAGGACAGAAAGACCCUAUGAAGCUUUACUGUAACUUGAAAUUGAAAUUGGACUUUACUCGCGCAGUAUAGGUGGGAGGCGUUGAUUAUAAUCUCGUGGGAUUAUUGGAGCCAUCAGUGAGAUACCACUCUUGUAAUGUUAGAUUUCUAACUUUGAAUCAUUAUCUGGUCAAAGGACAGUUUCAGGCGGGCAGUUUGACUGGGGCGGUCGCCUCCUAAACGGUAACGGAGGCGUACAAAGGUUUCCUCUGAACGGUUAGAAAUCGUAUCUAGAGUGUAAAGGCAUAAGGAAGCUUGACUGUGAGACCUACAAGUCGAGCAGGGACGAAAGUCGGUCUUAGUGAUCUGACGGUACUGAGUGGAAAGGCCGUCACUCAACGGAUAAAAGUUACUCUAGGAUAACAGGCUGAUCUCCCCCAAGAGUUCACAUCGACGGGGAGGUUUGGCACCUCGAUGUCGGCUCAUCGCAUCCUGGGGCGGUAGUACGUCCCAAGGGUUGGGCUGUUCGCCCAUGAAAGCGGUACGCGAGCUGGGUUCAGAACGUCGUGAGACAGUUCGGUCCAUAUCCGGUGUAGGCGCUAGAAUAUUGAGAGGAGCCUUCUUUAGUACGAGAGGACCGAGAAGGACAUACCUCUGGUGUACCAGUUAUCGUGCCAACGGUAAACGCUGGGUAGCUAUGUAUGGAGUGGAUAACCGCUGAAAGCAUCUAAGUGGGAAGCCCACCUCAAGAUAAGUAUUCUC